rnacentral:rRNA from 1 species
GAUCAUGGCUCAGGACGAACGCUGGCGGCGCGCCUAACACAUGCAAGUCGAACGAGCGAGAGAGAGCUUGCUUUCUCAAGCGAGUGGCGAACGGGUGAGUAACGCGUGAGGAACCUGCCUCAAAGAGGGGGACAACAGUUGGAAACGACUGCUAAUACCGCAUAAGCCCACGACCCGGCAUCGGGUAGAGGGAAAAGGAGCAAUCCGCUUUGAGAUGGCCUCGCGUCCGAUUAGCUUAGG